AACGAACGCUGGCGGCAUGCCUAAUACAUGCAAGUCGAACGAGAUCUUCGGAUCUAGUGGCGCACGGGUGCGUAACGCGUGGGAAUCUACCCUUGGGUUCGGAAUAACUUCGGGAAACUGAAGCUAAUACCGGAUGAUGACGUAAGUCCAAAGAUUUAUCGCCCAGGGAUGAGCCCGCGUAGGAUUAGCUAGUUGGUGGGGUAAAGGCAUACCAAGGCGACGAUCCUUAGCUGGUCUGAGAGGAUGAUCAGCCACACUGGGACUGAGACACGGCCCAGACUCCUACGGGAGGCAGCAGUUGGGAAUAUUGGACAAUGGGCGAAAGCCUGAUCCAGCAAUGCCGCGUGAGUGAUGAAGGCCUUAGGGUUGUAAAGCUCUUUUACCCGGGAUGAUAAAGACAGUACCGGGAGAAUAAGCUCCGGCUAACUUCGUGCCAGCCGCCGCAGUAACAC
rnacentral:rRNA from 1 species